rnacentral:rRNA from 1 species
GAUGAACGCUGGCGGCGUGCCUAAUACAUGCAAGUCGAGCGAACGGACGAGAAGCUUGCUUCUCUGAUGUUAGCGGCGGACGGGUGAGUAACACGUGGAUAACCUACCUAUAAGACUGGGAUAACUUCGGGAAACCGGAGCUAAUACCGGAUAAUAUUUUGAACCGCAUGGUUCAAAAGUGAAAGACGGUCUUGCUGUCACUUAUAGAUGGAUCCGCGCUGCAUUAGCUAGUUGGUAAGGUAACGGCUUACCAAGGCAACGAUGCAUAGCCGACCUGAGAGGGUGAUCGGCCACACUGGAACUGAGACACGGUCCAGACUCCUACGGGAGGCAGCAGUAGGGAAUGGUACGCAAUGGGCGAAAGCCUGACGGAGCAACGCCGCGUGAGUGAUGAAGGUCUUCGGAUCGGAAAACUCUGUUAUUAGGGAAGAACAUAUGUGUAAGUAACUGUGCACAUCUUGACGGUACCUAAUCAGAAAGCCACGGCUAACUACGUG